CGCCGCCGGUCCACACCACUCCAGCUCACCGUGGACGAUGCUGUCGCCGCGCUCGUCGCUGACCACGGCUCCGGCGAGCGCAAGGACGGCUUCGCGGGCGACGACGCCCCCCGGGCCGUCUUCCCUUCCAUCGGGGGACGCCCGCGGCAUCAGGGCGUGACGGUGGGCAUGGGUCAGAAGGACUCCCACGUGGGCGACGAGGCCCAGAGCAAGAGAGGCAUCCUGACCCUGAAGUACCCCAUCGAGCACGGCAUCGUCACCACCUGGGACCACAUGGAGAAGAUCUGGCACCACACCUACAACGAGCUGCGCGUCGCCCCCGAGGAGCACCCCGUGCUGCUGACCGAGGCUCCCUGAACCCCAAGGCCAACCGGGAAAAGAUGACCCAGAUCAUGCUCGAGACCUUCAAUACCCCAACCAUGUAUGUGGCCAUCCAGGCUGUGCUGUCCCUGUACGCCUCUGGCCGCACCACUGGCAUCGCGAUGGACUCUGGGGACAGGGUCACCCGCACUGUGCCCAUCUGCGAGGGGUACGCCCUCCCCCACGCCCUCCUGCGUCUGGACCUGGCUGGCCGGGACCUGACAGACGACCCCAGGAAGAUUCUCACGGAGCGUGGCUACAGCUUCACCCCCACGGCAGAGCGGGAAACUGGGCGUGACAUCAAGGAGAAGCUGUGCUACGUCGCCCUGGACUUCGAGGAGGAGCUGGCCACUGCUGCGUCCUCCUCCUCCCUGGAGAAGAGCUACCAGCUGCCCGACGGCCAGGUGAUCUCCAUCGGCAACGAGCGGUUCCGCGGCCCGGAGGCUCUCUUCCAGCCUUCCUUCCUGGGCCUGGAAUCCUGUGGCUUCCACGAAACCACCUUCAACUCCAUCAUGAAGUGUGAUGUGGACAUCCGCAAGGACCUGUACGCCAACACGGUGCUGUCCGGAGGUACCACCAUGUACCCAGGCAUCGCUGACAGGGUGCAGAAGGAGGUCACUGCCCUGGCGCCCAGCACGAUGAAGAUCAAGAUCAUGGCACCCCCUGAGCGCAAGUACUCCAUGUGGAUUGGCGGCUCCGUCCCGGCCUCGCUGUCCACCUUCCAGCAGAUGUGGAUCAGCAGGCAGGAGUACCACGAGUCCGGCCUCUCCAUCGGGCACCGCUAGUGCUUCUAGGCGGGCUAACGAGUGAUGCCCUUUCUUGACAAACCUAACUUGUGCAGAAAACAAGAUGAGAUCGGCAUAGCUUUAUUUGUUUUUUUUUUGUUGUUGUUGUUUGUUUUUUGUUUUUGGCUUGAUGACUCUCAGGAUUUAAAAACUGGAACGGUGAAGGUGACAGCGAGUUGGGGCGAGCAUCCCCAAAGUUCUACAGUGUGGCCAAGGACUUUGAUUGCACAUUGUUCUUUUUUUUUUAAUAGUCAUUCCAAAUGUCGUGAGAUGCAUUGUUACAGGAAGUCCCUUGCCCUCCCAAAAGCCGCCCCACUUCUCUCUAAGGAGAGUAGCCCAAUUCUCUUCUGGUCCACACGGGGGAGGAAACAGUAUUGCUUUUGUGUAAAUUAUGUAAUGCAAAUUUUUUUAAUCUUCGCCUUAAUACUUUUUUAUUUGUUUUAUUUUGAAUGAUCAGCCACCGUGGCCCCCUCUUUGUGUCCCCGACUUGAGAUGUAUGAAGGCUUUUGGUCUCCCUGGGAGUGGAUGGAGGUGUGGAGGCGGCCAGAACUUACCUGUACACUGACUUGAGA